rnacentral:tRNA from 1 species
GGACGGAUGCCGGAGUGGUUUAUCGGAGCGGUCUUGAAAACCGUCGUAGGGCAACCUACCGAGGGUUCGAAUCCCUCUCCGUCCGCCA